GGUCCCAUGGUCUAGUGGUUAGGACAUUGGACUUUGAAUCCAGUAACCCGAGUUCAAAUCUCGGUGGGACCU
rnacentral:tRNA from 1 species